rnacentral:RNase_P_RNA from 1 species
UAGGUCAAACAAAGUACAAUCCCGACAGCCGUCGGGAAGGAAAGUCCUGACAUCAUAAAAAGGGAGGUAGCUCACGGCUACUGGAUGGCUUCUCACCCAAAUGAAAGUGCCACAGAAACGGAAACUACUCCGCAAUACUGCGGAGGAAAGAUGCAACGUGAAGGUACUCGCAAUAUUGCGGGUUACUUCUCCUCACCCCGCAAGAUCUGCGGGGGAGUGGUAAACCACUUCCUGAUGCAAGCUUACCCCGCAGCAAGUGCGGGACAGUGCAAGACAAAAGCUAUACGCUUUUCCAGACAUAUCGUACUUGAAACACAGAAUCAGGCUUAUUGUUUGACGAGAUCU